AUUUCAAGCGCCGAGUGAAGAGGUUAAUAGUGAGUUAUGGAGGAAUGAGGUUAAGAUGAGGAAGUUAUGAAAGGAAUUGAACGCCAGGAAUGAGGAAUAGAGUUUCGUUUACAUCAAAUUAGGAAGCUGCUUAACCGCUCUGCUGCGAUUGGCACGGAUAUGGCCUUCACUGGUAGCCUGGUACCAUACACUCCCAGGUCUUUCUCUGCCUCUGUGGUGGAUAGUGGAGUGUUUCCCAUGCGGUAUUGGUGUGCUGGAUAUCCCUUCACUGGUAGCCUGGUAACAUACACUCCCAGGUCUUUCUCUGCCUCUGUGGUGGAUAGUGGAGUGUUGCCCAUGUGGUAUUGGUGUGCUGGAUAUCCCUUCACUGGUAGCCUGGUAACAUACACUCCCAGGUCUUUCUCUGCCUCUGUGGUGGAUAGUCGAGUGUUUCCCAUGUGGUAUUGGUGUGCUGGAUAUCCCUUCACUGGUAGCCUGGUAACAUACACUCCCAGGUCUUUCUCUGCCUCUGUGGUGGAUAGUGGAGUGUUGCCCAUGUGGUAUUGGUGUGCUGGAUAUCCCUUCACUGGUAGCCUGGUAACAUACACUCCCAGGUCUUUCUCUGCCUCUGUGGUGGAUAGUGGAGUGUUUCCCAUGUGGUAUUGGUGUGCUGGAUAUCCCUUCACUGGUAGCCUGGUAACAUACACUCCCAGGUCUUUCUCUGCCUCUGUGGUGGAUAGUGGAGUGUUUCCCAUGUAGUAUUGGUGUGCUGGAUAUCCUCUCCCAAGGUGCAGGAGUUUAAAGUUUUCUUCAUUGAAUUGUAGCAGCCACUUUUUGUUCCACUCCUGUAGCUUGGUGAUGUCUUCUUGUAGGAAAUCCGCAGUUAAGGGUUAAGGUAAAAUUCACUUUAACACUUACUUGCUAGAACCUUGAUACAUAUACAUACUUAUAAUAAUCCUUUUUUUUCUACAUUGAAGGAAGCAACUCAAAGGAGACAAAAAUGAUACAAAUAUGGUGACAGACGCAACAGCUCCCUUACUGCCUCAAGACUGUCCUCGGCGCCCAGACACGCGGCAAAAAUAAUUUCUUUGCCCGUUUAUCAAAAACAUGUCUGUUUGAAGGUAUAAAAAGUUUAACCUGCCCAAUGAUUAAUACUAUUGAAUGGCCGCGGUGUUUUGACCGUGCAAAGGAAGCAUGAUCGUUAGUUUUUAAUUGGUAUCUUGUAUGAAUGGUUGGACAAAAGAAGAUCAGUCUUUAUACUGUUUAUUGAA